AUAUAAUGAGAGAACAGAACUCAGACAUAGAAGACCAGAACAUCAGAGAACAUCUCAGACAAUACAAUCUUCAGCAUCUCAACCAUCUCUGAACCAUGAAGACCCUGACUGCUCUACUCCUCCUGGGACUGCUCUGCUCCCUGCAUAUGACGUCUGCAGAUGUCAUUAAGUUGGAAACGUCAACUGACUGCUGUCUAAAGUUCAGCCCGAGGAUCCCUCUUCAACAAGUAGUUUCUCUCAGAACAACCUCCAGUAGCUGCCCUCGCAAAGCACUGAUUUUCACCACAAAGAAAGGGAACACAUUUUGUGUUGACCCUUCUAAAGCCUGGGUCCAGAGUCAUGUGACCAAGAUUGAGAGCAGACGACAAUGAUGUCAUCAACUACCAUCACCCCCUAACACCCUAACCCUUGUUGGUGCACUUUGCACCUUGUCAUGCAUGUCAAUACCCUAUCUGAGAUUGGUAUAGAGGAGGUUCAAUGUAAUGUACUAGGUUAAUAUCCUAUCUGAGAUUGGUAUAGAGGAGGUUCAAUGUAAUGUACUAGGUUAAUAUCCUAUCUGAGAUUGGUAUAGAGGAGGUUCAAUGUAAUGUACUAGGUUAAUAUCCUAUCUGAGAUUGGUAUGGAUUAGGUUCAAUGUAAUGUACUAGGUUAAUAUCCUAUCUGAGAUUGGUAUAGAGGAGGUUCAAUGUAAUGUACUAGGUUAAUACCCUAUCUGAGAUUGGUAUAGAGGAGGUUCAAUGUAAUGUACUAGGUUAAUAUCCUAUCUGAGAUUGGUAUAGAGGAGGUUAAAUGUAAUGUACUAGGUUAAUAUCCUAUCUGAGAUUGGUAUAGAGGAGGUUCAAUGUAAUGUACUAGGUUAAUACCCUAUCUGAGAUUGGUAUGGAUUAGGUUCAAUGUAAUGUACUAGGUUAAUAUCCUAUCUGAGAUUGGUAUAGAAUAGGUUCAGUGUAAUGUACUAGGUUUAGGAUAUACUAAUUGUUUAUUUUUCUAUAACUGUAAAAAUAUUUGACAUGUAACUAUUCAGUAACCUAUUUAAUAUUUUAUAUUUUGUAAAGCCGUUGAAAAUUUCAAACAUCCUGCGAAAGAGUGGUUCAUAUUAUUCAAUUAAUGUAUUGAUGGAUAUAUAUGGGUUGUAACUAGGUCUAUUCUACUGAUAUAGAUAUUAAUGGGUUGUAACUAGGUCUAUUCUACUGAUAUAGAUAUUAAUGGGUUGUAACUAGGUCUAUUCUACUGAUAUAGAUAUUAAUGGGUUGUGUACAUGUUCUCAAUCUGCAGCUGUUUAAAUAAAUCAAGUACUCUGAAUAAUUCUCUGACAUUCAUUUCAGCAUUCUUAAUGUGUUGAGAAUAUACAUUAAGUUUCCCAAAAAUGAGGAACACCUAUGUAAUAUUGAGUCUCCCUUUUGACCCUCAGAACAGCCUCAGUUAGUCAAGGCAUGGACUCCACAAAGAGUCUCAUGUGUUCCACAGCGAUGCUUGACAGUUCUGUCAAGUUG